CACCUACAACAUCGAUUCGCUUAUUACAAAUCGCUUUCACUUCAAUCAGUUACGAAUUUUUUUCAUCAUUUCCUAUGUCGUUCCGCGAUAGUUUCACGAACAUCGCAUAACUCCGAUGUAGCGCAACGCGUGAGACGCGCUCUUUUCCUAGAGGCGGCCUCUUGUGCGCGCCGCGCUACCUCUGGCUCGUUUCUACAGAACGCCCAAAAAGAUCGAACUCGGAGAAACUGUGACGCACUUCACCUCACUGCCACUGUCACUUCCGAGAAUUCUCAAAAAAUCGUUUGCAUCGCCGAUUAACUUUCCAAACGAGCUGCUUUCACAAAUUAUUUCGACAAAAGCGAAGAGCGCGAAGCCGGGUGCGGCUACACGCCAGUGUGGACGGACCGCCGCUGGAGUACGGAACACGCGGAGCGCAGUUUUUGCGGGGACGGGUCCGUGCAGUAAAAGUCAAAGAUUGUCGACGCGUUUCACUAGUGGUUAAACGUUCCGCUAUUGGCGAGGACUUAGAAGGAAAUGACACGCUAUUGGCCAGCGAGAGUUGUGUAUACUUGGACGUAACCUAUCGCUUUGCUCCGUUGCGUUUACUAACGUAAUAUAAAGAUGCACAUAAGGAGGUUGCUUCGUUAAUGUUGGCGUCACCGCUAAACAGUUCUUCCGUUGACCGAGGCAAGAGGAUUUGGGCUUCGGUAGUUUUUUAAAUUCGCUGAAAGCGUCUUUCACGGACACGGUGUUACUGUGCACCAAAUUGAUGAUUUGAUAGUGCCAGGGCAAGUGAUAGUGCAAUAAAAGAAUUGAUUUAUUGUGAAACAAA
rnacentral:misc_RNA from 1 species